rnacentral:snRNA from 1 species
GGAUAUGACAGUGAUCUAGCUGUGCCUCUGUCACCUCAUUGAUCAGAAAGGUUAAUUUUGCUGAUCUGAUUGAGUAUGACAAUUCUUCCUCCCUCACUCCUGUCUUCCUGUAAGUUCUUUCUGAAGCUGUGUGCUCAAUGGGAGAGAAUGAUUUUCUUCAAUAGAGGAGGACUGGUCUUCUACCAAGAGGAUGGCAGGAGCUGAACUCCCUGCUAGGCCCUCUCAACAAGCCCUUAAGGCCCAUUUGUAGGCUACCAUAAGGUAGUCAAACUUCCAGGACUCUAUAGGCAGAAGCAGAAAUGCAGGAGGCAGCCUGC